ACUAUCAUUAACUGAAUCCAUAGGUUAAUGAGGCGAACCGGGGGAACUGAAACAUCUAAGUACCCCGAGGAAAAGAAAUCAACCGAGAUUCCCCCAGUAGCGGCGAGCGAACGGGGAGGAGCCCAGAGCCUGAAUCAGUGUGUGUGUUAGUGGAAGCGUCUGGAAAGGCGCGCGAUACAGGGUGACAGCCCCGUACACAAAAAUGCACAUGCUGUGAGCUCGAUGAGUAGGGCGGGACACGUGGUAUCCUGUCUGAAUAUGGGGGGACCAUCCUCCAAGGCUAAAUACUCCUGACUGACCGAUAGUGAACCAGUACCGUGAGGGAAAGGCGAAAAGAACCCCGGCGAGGGGAGUGAAAAAGAACCUGAAACCGUGUACGUACAAGCAGUGGGAGCACAGAGCAAUCUGUGUGACUGCGUACCUUUUGUAUAAUGGGUCAGCGACUUAUAUUCUGUAGCAAGGUUAACCGAAUAGGGGAGCCGAAGGGAAACCGAGUCUUAACUGGGCGUUAAGUUGCAGGGUAUAGACCCGAAACCCGGUGAUCUAGCCAUGGGCAGGUUGAAGGUUGGGUAACACUAACUGGAGGACCGAACCGACUAAUGUUGAAAAAUUAGCGGAUGACUUGUGGCUGGGGGUGAAAGGCCAAUCAAACCGGGAGAUAGCUGGUUCUCCCCGAAAGCUAUUUAGGUAGCGCCUCGUGAAUUCAUCUCCGGGGGUAGAGCACUGUUUCGGCAAGGGGGUCAUCCCGACUUACCAACCCGAUGCAAACUGCGAAUACCGGAGAAUGUUAUCACGGGAGACACACGGCGGGUGCUAACGUCCGUCGUGAAGAGGGAAACAACCCAGACCGCCAGCUAAGGUCCCAAAGUCAUGGUUAAGUGGGAAACGAUGUGGGAAGGCCCAGACAGCCAGGAUGUUGGCUUAGAAGCAGCCAUCAUUUAAAGAAAGCGUAAUAGCUCACUGGUCGAGUCGGCCUGCGCGGAAGAUGUAACGGGGCUAAACCAUGCACCGAAGCUGCGGCAGCGACACUAUGUGUUGUUGGGUAGGGGAGCGUUCUGUAAGCCUGUGAAGGUGUGCUGUGAGGCAUGCUGGAGGUAUCAGAAGUGCGAAUGCUGACAUAAGUAACGAUAAAGCGGGUGAAAAGCCCGCUCGCCGGAAGACCAAGGGUUCCUGUCCAACGUUAAUCGGGGCAGGGUGAGUCGACCCCUAAGGCGAGGCCGAAAGGCGUAGUCGAUGGGAAACAGGUUAAUAUUCCUGUACUUGGUGUUACUGCGAAGGGGGGACGGAGAAGGCUAUGUUGGCCGGGCGACGGUUGUCCCGGUUUAAGCGUGUAGGCUGGUUUUCCAGGCAAAUCCGGAAAAUCAAGGCUGAGGCGUGAUGACGAGGCACUACGGUGCUGAAGCAACAAAUGCCCUGCUUCCAGGAAAAGCCUCUAAGCAUCAGGUAACAUCAAAUCGUACCCCAAACCGACACAGGUGGUCAGGUAGAGAAUACCAAGGCGCUUGAGAGAACUCGGGUGAAGGAACUAGGCAAAAUGGUGCCGUAACUUCGGGAGAAGGCACGCUGAUAUGUAGGUGAAGCGACUUGCUCGUGGAGCUGAAAUCAGUCGAAGAUACCAGCUGGCUGCAACUGUUUAUUAAAAACACAGCACUGUGCAAACACGAAAGUGGACGUAUACGGUGUGACGCCUGCCCGGUGCCGGAAGGUUAAUUGAUGGGGUCAGCGCAAGCGAAGCUCUUGAUCGAAGCCCCGGUAAACGGCGGCCGUAACUAUAACGGUCCUAAGGUAGCGAAAUUCCUUGUCGGGUAAGUUCCGACCUGCACGAAUGGCGUAAUGAUGGCCAGGCUGUCUCCACCCGAGACUCAGUGAAAUUGAACUCGCUGUGAAGAUGCAGUGUACCCGCGGCAAGACGGAAAGACCCCGUGAACCUUUACUAUAGCUUGACACUGAACAUUGAGCCUUGAUGUGUAGGAUAGGUGGGAGGCUUUGAAGUGUGGACGCCAGUCUGCAUGGAGCCGACCUUGAAAUACCACCCUUUAAUGUUUGAUGUUCUAACGUUGACCCGUAAUCCGGGUUGCGGACAGUGUCUGGUGGGUAGUUUGACUGGGGCGGUCUCCUCCUAAAGAGUAACGGAGGAGCACGAAGGUUGGCUAAUCCUGGUCGGACAUCAGGAGGUUAGUGCAAUGGCAUAAGCCAGCUUGACUGCGAGCGUGACGGCGCGAGCAGGUGCGAAAGCAGGUCAUAGUGAUCCGGUGGUUCUGAAUGGAAGGGCCAUCGCUCAACGGAUAAAAGGUACUCCGGGGAUAACAGGCUGAUACCGCCCAAGAGUUCAUAUCGACGGCGGUGUUUGGCACCUCGAUGUCGGCUCAUCACAUCCUGGGGCUGAAGUAGGUCCCAAGGGUAUGGCUGUUCGCCAUUUAAAGUGGUACGCGAGCUGGGUUUAGAACGUCGUGAGACAGUUCGGUCCCUAUCUGCCGUGGGCGCUGGAGAACUGAGGGGGGCUGCUCCUAGUACGAGAGGACCGGAGUGGACGCAUCACUGGUGUUCGGGUUGUCAUGCCAAUGGCACUGCCCGGUAGCUAAAUGCGGAAGAGAUAAGUGCUGAAAGCAUCUAAGCACGAAACUUGCCCCGAGAUGAGUUCUCCCUGACUCCUUGAGAGUCCUGAAGGAACGUUGAAGACGACGACGUUGAUAGGCCGGGUGUGUAAGCGCAGCGAUGCGUUGAGCUAACCGGUACUAAUGAACCGUGAGG
rnacentral:rRNA from 1 species